rnacentral:misc_RNA from 1 species
GAUGAAGAACGUAGCGAAAUGCGAUAAGUAAUGAGAAUUGCAGAAUUCAGUGGAUCAUCGAAUCUUUGAACGCACAUUGCGCCCCUUGGUAUUCCGAGGGGCAUGCCUGUUCGAGCGUCAUUUCAACCCUCAAGCUCUGCUUGGUCUUGGGCCUGGCCGCGAUGGCCGGCCUUAAAAUCAGUGGCGGUGCCGUCGUAGGCUCCAAGCGUAGUACAUCUCUCGCUCUGGAAGCCCGGCGGUGCCUGCCAGACAACCCCUAAUUGUCUCCUAUGGUUGACCUCGGAUCAGGUAGGGAUACCCGCUGAACUUAAGCAUAUCAAUAAGCGGAGGA